rnacentral:lncRNA from 1 species
CUUCUCUUCCCAUGCUAUUUGGUUGGUUAACUGCUGUGGCCUUGGAAGAGCAGCCCGGUUGGUAGGACUAAAGAGUCUCUACUUGACAGGUCACACUUUCCCUGAAGCUUAUGUUUUCUAAUGGAUAGCUUUAUAUUGACAUAAAAGGCUCCCAGAUCUUCAGCAAAAUAUUUGAGGAUGUCCCAGUAAAAGAGGACUUGAUUGGUUAUGUUUAAGAGCUGGGGCUUUUCAGGCAACGGGAGACAUGGAAUACAGUGUGGGGAACUCUGGUGACAUGCACUUUAGAAUCACUUCUCUGGCUGCAUGAUGGAGCCUGGGUUUAAAAGGGUCAAGACUGGAAGUAAGAAGAACAGCAGGAGGUUAGGAGAGCGAGUGAGGAUGAGGGUCUCAGCUCAGAAGCUGUGGAAACAGGGUCUAGAGGCAAAAUCGACAGGCUUUGGUCCUUGUGUGUGGGUGUCUGCAGUGGGGGUAAUGCCAGUGAGAAACUGUGAGGAUUAACAGUGACUCCCUAGUGCCUGGCUGGAGUAACUGGAUAGUUGGUGAUGUGGCACAUGAAGUCUUACAAUUCAGAGGAGGCAGGUUGUGAGAGAAGCUGGAAGAUGAGUUCACUUUUGAUGGGAUGAAGUUUGGGAUGCUUAUGAGAGAAAUCUUGCAGGGGGGUUGGAUAUUCCAGUCCGAGGCUUAGAAAAGACAUCGGAGGAAGACAGAUACAUAUUUGAGUUACUGGUAUAAUCAAAUGGAAUCAGGGAGAGAAUGGACAAAGAGAAAUCCAGAGGAUUUGGAGAUCAUCAAUAUUUGGGGACAAGGGAGAGGAUGUGGAUUCCAGGAGGAGGUGGAGAAAAAAGAGGGACCGCAGAGUGAAGGCAAGAGAAGAGUUCAAAGUUGUGCAUGGUAAGAUGAUGGGGGUGCGGAUGGUGGCCACCAGGGAGAAAGCCCAGUGAUACAGAAAAUGGGCAGAGAGGCCAUGCCAGGGAGGGGG